rnacentral:rRNA from 1 species
GGGGAGUACGAUCGCAAGGUUGAAACUCAAAGGAAUUGACGGGGGCCCGCACAAGCGGAGGAACAUGUGGUUUAAUUCGAUGAUACGCGAGGAACCUUACCUGGGCUUAAAUGUAGAUUGCAUGGAUUGGAAACAGUCCUUCCCUUCGGGGCUAUUUACAAGGUGCUGCAUGGUUGUCGUCAGCUCGUGCCGUGAGGUGUCGGGUUAAGUCCCAUAACGAGCGCAACCCUUAUCGUUAGUUGCCAGCGGGUAGAGCCGGGGACUCUAGCGAGACUGCCACCGUAAGGUGAGAGGAAGGUGGGGAUGACGUCAAAUCAGCACGGCCCUUAUGUCCAGGGCUACACACGUGUUACAAUGGCCGGUACAAAGGGCAGCUACACUGCGAAGUGAUGCUAAUCUCAAAAGCCGGUCCCAGUUCGGAUUGGAGUCUGCAACCCGACUCCAUGAAGUUGGAUUCGCUAGUAAUCGGAUAUCAGCCAUGAUCCGGUGAAUACGUUCCCGGGCCUUGUACACACCGCCCGUCAAACCAUGGGAGCUGGGGGUGCCUGAAGUCUGCCACCGAGAG